rnacentral:tRNA from 1 species
ACGGGAGUGGCGUAAUUGGUAAACGCACCAGAUUUAGGUUCUGGCGCCGUAAGGUUUUGCGAGUUCAAGUCUCGCCUCCCGUA